AGUACGGUAACUAACAUCGUGACACGGGAAUUUUAUAUAUUAGAUAUUAGAUAAUACGCUUUACUAACGCCUAGAUUUUCAUCUAUUUUGUUGUGAUCUAUCUCAUUUUCACACAAAUUAACUGACACGUCUGUUAGAUUGGUUGACAGAAUACAUAAAAUUGCAUAGUUCCACGUAAUUCUGCCCAAAAAUACAUAUCCUGUCCACGAUCCCUACAAUAAAACUUGUUUAUUCUUACACUUAUAGUUCAAAGAGGUUGUAUUAGCAUUGAUUGCUUUCUGAUUGCCGGUUCGUAUCCUGUUGUAGUUUUAUUUUUGGUUCUCUUAUGAACUUGACUUCGCGUGAACGCAAACAGGAUGAAUGCGUGUUAGAAAUACGUUUUGUUCGAUGUUUUCAAGUACUCAACGCUUUUAUUAUUAUUUAUUGAUUUGUGAUAUCAGGUGUCAUAAUUAUGAUUGAUACGGUGGUUUUGAAAUAAGUUGGACAUAAAUAAUUUUCAAGGCCCAAAAUCCGAAAAGUAAGCAGUUUUAGCUUGAAUUUUGGUAGAUCCUCACCAUUUUUUUUAUAUCUUUUUACAGCAUUACUAUGCCUUACUCAUCUAUUUUUAUAAUCACUUAGCAACAAAUUGUUUGUCCGAUCGGAAACACACCCGAUAAAUACGCUCGUUUCUUUUGAACACAAUGAUAUUAUUUUUGCACAUUGACUUUUAUGACAAAUAACAUUUUAUUUACUCCUCAAACGGUAAUAUAGUUACGAAACGUUUCUUUUGCGCGUCAUAAGUUAUUAUUGGAGCAUUUUUAUAACGCACUAAACGUUAACGGUUUUCGUGAUCGCGUAGAGACACGACCAACUUACUUUUGCGGUUGACAGUGCCGUUAGCAUCCUUGUCAUUGCAUUGGUAACCGUCAAUACUGCCUUAAUUGCCUUGCAAUAAUGCUCUGUUAAACGUUAGUACCGAUUUUCGUCAUCGGCAAAUGUAUGUUGGUUCUGCAAAUGUCAAGUUGUGUGCUGACAUUUGAGAUCGUCCAGUCGCUUGGAAAAUGUCGGUUUGAUCGUCGAUACGGUUUUGAGUUACUCCAAGGCUUUGUUCACUAGGGUGUGUUAGUAUUGAGUAGCUUUAACUCAAUUAAAUUAUAAUGCAGACCGUUUCAUGAGUAUAUUGAAUGCUUAGCUGUAAUAUUUUUAAUGUCGAAGACUCCUUAAUUUAUUUGAAUUUAAUAGGAACUAUUUGGAAGCACCUGUAGUGUUCCAAGAAAUUCCAAGCGAAUGCUCAGUACUCUAUUAUUUUCUCGCUUUUUGAUAGUCGGAUAAUAUCUGAUAAAUAAUUUCAUCACAAAACACCCAAAGCCAUACUUACCUUUUUUAUGAAACAAUAGACCACAAAACUACCAACAAAAACAGAUAAAACAACAAUUCACGAACUGAAUGUAAUCGAAUAAUCUAUAAUUGCUUUUCCCACAAAAAUACACUGAAUUUCGUAAUACAUUACCAAUGAAAUACUACACACUAAUACCCCUUUAAUAUCGGUACUCUUCCCUGAGUUCUAUAGCUUGCCGACAUAAUCAGAUUUACUCUGACUUGAAUAGGUGAAGACACGAAAUCAAUAAUUACGUUACCGAAUAUAUCAGAUACUCUUUUAUGUGGAAUGUAAAAAGGAAACCUUGGUUCGUAAGCUGAUUGCUGUAUUCCGUACCUAGUUGGGAGUAGAAAUUUCUUAGUAUGUGAUCUUAUUAACAGAAUAUCCGUUUCGUUUUUUUGAUGUAUCCUAGACCUUACAGAUAUGGACUUGUGUGCAGAAAAUUGUAGUUUGUGAAGUCGUAGAAUUAUGUCCAUAUUCCAUACCGUAUAUACCCGAAUAUUCGCGGUAGCCCUUAAUGUUCGUGAAAAUUUUAGUUUAGAAUAAAUAAAUUAGAUUUUUGCGCGUCUGGAUAUUGAACUAUUUGCCUUAGACCUAGCUUAUUUAUAAUUUCGUGUUUCGUUUUAAUAUAACAGGUUGGUCGACUUGCCUGUUAUUUAAAUUAUCUAAGUUAUGAAUUGGCUACUUUCACGAGAUAUGUUUUUGGCACGAUAACGAUAUUUAUUUAUAGACGUCCUGUGUACGUUUGGAUUUUCUUUUUACUGUUCGGGUACACCCAUGGUAUUUGUAGGCAAAUAUGUUGCAUAACAUAUCAUUGGUAUGUUUGUUUUAUCUUUCAUCAUUAGAAUUUAGACGCAAUAUAGGUUAGGAUCGGAACUUGUUACUUCGUAAAAUUCAAAUAGAUCAGUCUGCAAUGGAACGAAUUUUCGAAUGUGACUAUUCAAUAUAACAACAAAAUUCUACAGCAAAUGAAUCUAAAUACCAAAUAAAGGAAAUGUCCAACGUAAACAAGAGUCUACAUAAUGUUCAGUUAUUUUUCAGUGUUGUGUUUCAUGGACAAAACCAUCAAUAGCAAUCAAAUCAAGUCCUUCACAUUGAUAUAUAGAGGGAGGGCUUAAACGUUUGAUAAAGCUGUUAUCCUAUUUGAUUCCGGAUGGAAGGGACAUAAAAUACAUAAAGAGCCUUUUUUUUUGUUACCGGUCUGAAUAAACUGUGAUUUAAUUAAAUUAUUAAAUAAAUUUUCUACCUCAUCUCUCGUCACUCUUCUUUUCUUCUCUUCAGACUUCUUCAGUCAGAUAAUUUUGAACUUGAUUUUAACGCCUACAAAAUAAUGUUCUAUCUUUUCUGUCUAUUUCGGCCAAAAUAUAAUAUCCGAGAACGCUACUUGAGUCACGGGCCUUAUGAGACGUUUUAUAUAAAAUAUCCUUGCAUUUUGGGUUAUUGUGAUAUAAAAUUAAUAUCAUCGAUCAUUUUCGUCGUUGAAUUUUAAUCAUCCACCGCAUCCAAUUAAUUUAAAAUAUUGCUUCGAACGUGAUGACAGCACUCAUGUUGUGCCUGUUUGUUAUUAGCAUUUUCAUUACAGACUCGUGUUGAUGCCGUAUUAAAACCGAUCUUUUAAGCACUUAGAAUUAAUUACCCCAGACCCGCCUUCUAAGUGGGAACUUAAGAUGGAAAUUGCUUUUCGUUGUUUAAAGAACCAUCAAAUUUUACCGUCUUAAAAUUUUGGGUUAUAUCGACAUUCUAUUUAAUACACUACAUUAUUUUGUUACGAAAUUUAGGAGAACAAAAGCAUUGUGCUAUAAAGAAAGAUAGAGCACGACCUUCAGUUAGAUAAUCCUAUGACACAGCAGUCACGUCCUGAAAUACGUAAUCCUAGUGAAUGAAAUACUGGAACAUUGUAGCAAAGAUUCUCAAUGCCAAACUCUUUCAUUCAUUUCUUCCCAUGAUGCCAUUAACAUUCCUCAAGGCGGAAAAAUAAAUAACAAUAAGAAUCCAUUUCUUUUUAUGGCAUUGUUUUUCUAUGACGCUGAAUCCCCUUUGCCAUGUUAGACCAUAUGUUAUUUAUUUAAUACAAUCGUUCCUACCUCUUCAUCCGCACUAAGUGUAAUAAAUGUCCGUAGUUAAAAAUAUCAUUGCUGACUCCCGCUAAGCAAUAAACCAAUUGAGUCUGCCUUUGCGAACUUAACCCCUCGUAAAAUUGUAAUGAUACGCUCCACUUGCAAUUUUUAAAACAUCCCUUGUCAUUCAAAUGUGGUCUUUGAUUUCAGAGGCUAAGAUUGAAUUUGGAUUAGGAUUAUUUCGGGAUUUCAGUCCAGUUUAUCCGAUAUUUCAAAUUCAACCUUAAUGCUUUGGAAAUAAGAAUAGUUUUAGUCGUCCCAUGUUUCUCAUUCAUUGAUUCCUUUAUUUUACCUUGCGUCUUGAAUGGAAUAUUUUUGCUACCAUUGUGGGAACUUCAUAUGUGUCGUACUGGACCUGUGCCAAGGGAUUUCCGUUAUCGAAUACAAACGCCACUUUUAUGCUUUUUUCGAUUUCGUUAUUUAUGUUCAUUGUACUCAAUUCUGGAUUUGGGUGUUCGAAUAACUGAAUGUUUGGAAACUGUGAAUUGACUUUGAUCAAUGGUGAAUGGACGGACGGGGGACACACGAUGAACUGAGUAACCAACUUCUGUUUUAGUUUUAUUAGAUAGCACAAACUUUGUAUUACUUUUAUAUUUGUUAUUGAUGGAAAUAUCGAUCAGACGGGAUGCUCAGGCGGGAUUAGCUUUAUAAACAGCUGAUUAAUGAGCGUGCAUGUUAAAAAGUAAGUGUAGGUACCAUGUAAGUACGUUUGCUCAUUAUUUUUGCAGUAAUCUUUCCAAUACUCAAAUCUACAUUUGUGAUACCCGAGGGCGUAUCGUCAAUUUUCAUUUAAAUUCGGUUUCUACACCCGCCAUUAACGGGGAUUUGACAUUAACGCGGAUUAUUACAUGAUUUACAACCGAAUGUUUAUUCAUAACUUAAUCAAUGUUAUAGCACUAAACCUAUGUUCAAGUAUUUAGGUAUUGUUUAUGGGUCAGAUGUCUAUGCAGUUACUUCUAUACCUAAUUACGUAGGCUGUUGUUUAAAAGUACCUAUCAGGGACCUGUUUAUUAUUUUAAGUUUUGUAUGUAGUUGAUCAUUGACUUAAUUGAUAUUUGCUUUUAUAAAGCUGAGUAUGUCAUUUAUUUAGUGCUUUAUUCUAUUCGUAUAAUUUUUAUUUGCAUAAAACUUCCUCAUUCAUUUUAUUUUGACGUAUGUUAUGAAUACGAUAUUUUACUUCAUAUGAAACAUUUUAUUCAUUAUACACAUGCUGUUUUCUUAAUUAAUUAUAAUCAAAACAUGCAUUAACUGAAGAAAAAGUAAUACAAUUGAGAGGUUGUGUGUCAAAAUAACUCACUGGAUUAUCCAUUGUCCAGACUUGAGCCAAGAGACCGUCUAAAUGCUUCUUUUUCUGUGACCUCUCUUCAGUACCAUAACGAUUAUAAAUCUCAGUGAAGCAAGGAUUAUUGACGAAAAACUUAGCCAAAGAGUAUAAGUCUCUAUUCAACAGAGUUAUUUUUACAGAUAUAGGGAUCUUCAACUUAUUGACUUCAUUGAGACCAGAUCCUUCAGAACUAGUAAUAGACAUGGUCAUAUUACCAUUCUCAUCAAAGCUGACAAUAUCUAAAUAACUGAUGUAAUGAGCAGAAGAUACAUAGGUAAGUUGCUGAGCAAUUGCUUGUUGUUGUGGACCUGAAGAUGAGGUAGUGGGGGAAGUUGUUAAGAACUCUACUCUGUUUCCUUUCGGUUUUGUACUUUCUAGAAUCUUCAUUUCCAGAUUCUCAUUUAAUUUGCUCACACUGGCUGCCAGAUCAUCUAUCCUCAUAAUUCCAUAGUUGCCGCUUACUGCCCACGGAAAUAUCUAUUCUUAGAUACUAUACCUAGAACAUGUCUUUCCCGUCUCUAGCUUUACAAUGUUGCUAAAUUCACUAAUUGACCUAAGUUAUUUUUACUUCAUAUUAUUAGUGUCAGUUAGUCUUAUUACAUAAUAUUGAUAUUAUUUUUAUGUGUUUUAAUCUAAUUCUGAAGCACUGCUCAAGUCUGCUCAACACAAUUUAAUCAUCAGUCAAAUCUCAAGUGCUAGUUUAAUGUGUAAGCCUAUGAUUGCUUCCUUAGUCUUGUGGACCUAUCACAAUCGGAAGCCGGAUUAUUGGCAAUAUAUUAAAGACUGUUUUAAGACUAAAUGUAUAUCAGUUUUGUUUUUACUUCAAACUUUAAGUACGCACAAUAUCUCGUCAUAAUUUCGUUUCGUGCGUAUUCUCACUCAUUCAUGUCUGAAAUUUGCGUCAUAACAUUGAGUAAACAAUUUUAACGUUGUUCCGAUCAUAAAAGAACUAGCCAAACAUUUCCUCAGCUACUCAUGAUAUCGACUCACCAAGAUACUCACCUUUUAUUAAACUUAUAGUAAAUUUAUUUUAUUCAUUCACUCACGAAAUCAAUAUAUGAAAGGGUAUGACGUAACAAGAAGCAAAAUACAGAAAAAUGCGCAUAAAAUGGCAGUGAGAUAUAUUUGUAUGACGUAUCAAGAAUAUUCUAACCUAACCUGUGUAUUAAUAGUAACAGGAAACGUGUCUAUCGUAGUUCGCGCCCUUGAGUCGACAUUCGCGGUUUUGAGCGCCCACUCGCACAUGAAUGGUAGAGCUUCAUUGAUACAUAGAGAAUGGGCGUGUCUUGUUUAUUAAUAUCUUUUAUUCGACGCAACCAUAUCGAUAAAUGUUUAUAAACGCUCAUUCAUUUUGAUCCCAUUCAAUAAUAUUGUUGUUUUGUACCAUAAUAUUUGCUUUGAAUUUUGAUAGUCUCGUCCAUUUUAAGGGAAUAUUGAGAAUUUGAUUACUGAACCCUCAAUUCACGAUGUGUUCGUUGUUUUUUGUCGGUGAAUUUCGUUUACUUUGUAAUGUAAUCGUGGUUGUUUUUGUUUACGAGGGAAUUUUCGUUCGGAUUGUUUUUCAGUGUCGGGUGCCUUGGAGAAAAUCAAUCAUUGUUGAAUCUAACGUCAAGCUUUUCCCUGGGGCUGUGUGAAACACGAAAGUAAUCAUGUUACCGAUAUUCUGAAGGGAAAAGUAGUCCUUGAGACGUUGACACAGUUGUGCUGUAAUGAAAAUCAACGACACUGAGUGACGUAACGAGUGAAUGAAUGAGACCGACUUAACGUUCUGUUCUUUGAAGGGUUUUCUGAAAGGAUGCAAUCGAAGACAAAAUUUCUGCCAUGAGGUAAUGAGUCCACAUAAUUUAUGUCGCUUCUUUCGCGGCUGUCCCAUAAAAAUGCAAAUUAUAAUAAUUUCUUAUUACAUUAUGAAUAGCUUUCCCUUUAUAACGGUAAAAGAAGAGGUGAACUCCUUGUUAAUUUAGAAACCCCACAUGCCCUUUAUAAACACAAUUAUGAAUUCCGAAACUCGUUUAAUUAAUUUAUCCUGUAGGCUGGAAGAUAGGUGCAAAGGCAAACGUCCCAUGUGAUAAAAUAGUCCAUGACCAUUCUCUGACUCACCGUUUCCUUUCGUUUUACUUUCCAAUACGCACUUAGCGUCUGACACAAUAUCCUGUAUAUUUUAGCAUUCGUUUAUUAAUAGUACUUGCAAAUAAUGGUUUCUGGUGACUGGUGUUUGACGCAGGUGCAUAAUUGAUCGCAGGUGUCUAAGAAAAGCGAAUUUAAAAAAAAACUUUGAUUUCAUCGCGUUUUGUUAUAUAAAUUUUCUUUCUGAGUUUAAUUUAUCUUAAAGCUCAUGGUCAAGGGCAACAAAAGAAUGAUAUUGUACUUAAGUUUAGGGUACUAAUUUGAGUCGUCUAUAUCGUCACCCCUGACGUGACGACCACGACCACUCUGGCAAGAGUGUAACGACAAGGAAGAAGAAGAAGAAGAUAUCAUCAAUACUCAUUUUUAACCCUCUUUACCUACUUUAAGAAUCUUUUCAUAAAACGAGCUCAUGGUGUCCAAUAAAGUUUCUGCCAAUCCCUCUUCGAUCCGUUAUGAGAAUGUAGAUUAAAGUUCUGCCUUAUAUGACUUUUAACAAACAGGCUACCAACGAAAAUGUUGACUGUAAGCUUUAUUCAAUUGCUUUAGGAAACAACAUCUCACACAAAUUACACCUGUCUUAUCCUCUCAUGUCAAGGUUGAUAUAGUUUUGCAUAAAUCAAAUGACGGAUAAUCGUUACGCCCCAUUGUGGUACUGAGUAUCUGAUUCAAUGAUGAUUCAAUAUUUUCAAGAAACGUCUGCAAAAUGCCCAGCUUUUUGAUAUAAGCAGAAGUCUUUUUUCCUGUCUCUUCAAAUUCGGCUCCAACAAAACCGAAUCUGUUAAGUGUUAAUCGAAGUAAAAUAUUUUUUACUCCAGUUCUCAUACCUAGUCCUUUUUGAAGUCAAUACGCUCAAGCAAUGACUAGUGCAGGGAGUGAUGCCACGCGUCAGAGUACGCAAGGCCUUGGUCCCCACGUAUUUCUAAUUGAGUGUUCAUUGAUGACACCUACCUGAAUUACUUAUGCUAUCAUAUUUUCGUGUUAUCAUUAUUACGUUUGUACCUUCUAUCAGUAGAAUACCAACGGAUGUAACAUUAAUGACAAUUAUCUAUAUGAUAAGCUAUUUUAGUCUUCAUUCUAUUUAAUUCCCUAUGAUAAUAAUGUUUUACCUUAAUGACAUGACUGCUUUUAUUUAUUGAAUGAAGGGAAACAAAAAUACUCUGAUAUAGUUGUCACAUUCAUUUUCGUGCAAUAUAAUUUACCUACUGGUUUGAGAAAAGGCUACAUAAAGCUUCUCAUACGCAAUCAAUGUACGCAGAUUUUAUGACUUGUACGCAGCGAAAGUCGUCAUAUCACAGGAACACCAUUGUAAAACCAUAAAACUACCGCAUACUAGCUCUAUUGCGGUAUCAAUAAAAAUUGGGAUGUUUAGAAUCAACCCACACUGCGUUAUAACUAAACCCAGGAUGUUACUAUUUGAUAAAACGCAACUACGCGCGUGGGAUAUCGGUUGAUUGUUUACGUCCUUUCGCGACGCCAUCUUGGAUUUUAGUGUUUUUAUUUUCACGAAUGAAUGAGCGAUUUGGAUGAAUGAGCGAGUGACUCAUCGUGGGAAUUGUUUUAAGCCAAUUUGUGCAAUUGAAGUUGAUUGUGCGGUUUUGUUGGCGUAUUUUUAUUGGACUGGAUAUUGGGAUUAGUUCUGCUGGCAUGCAAUGGAUUUAAAGGCAAAAACAAAAUAUGUCUAUAAUACCGAAUUACAGUGUGAUUUUUAUAGUCGUCGUAAGAGAUUUGACUGUGACUCUUGGAUUGAAGAAGGACCUAGUAGUUUCAGCCUCAAGAUUCUGACUUUCACACUUACCCCGAAGCAGAUUAAGAUAAUUCUACGGGGAAAAAAGGUUAUUUAAUUUUUCCUUAGUGUUGUUAUCAAGUAAACAUGGUUAAGUAUCGUAAAUAAAGAAAUACCUGGUAUUACUAGUCUUCUCCAUCUGAAACAAUGUUAACCGAGCACAUUUUCCAGCUCCACUCUAAAUCAAAGAAACUAAACGUACGUUUCGAAGUAUUGAAUUGCUUUCAAUAAGAACAGCGAGACCAACAAGAAUAUCGACUCGUGCCUUGUUGUUAUUAGAAAAUGUUUGUUUUCCGUGGCUCUUUGUGAAAUUGAAGAAAAACACGAGGUUUUCUAAAUUCAGCCAUUAGAAUUUGGUCGUAAUUUCAAUUCGACAAUAAAUAAUGAAUUUGAUGUUCCCGCAAUUUUCUGAUUACUUGGCCUUAUGUUGCUUCGGUUAAUAUAUCUUAUUCAAUACUCUACUAGACAUUUACCGAUACAUAUUAUAUCAUUCCCGUCCAUGUGGUAGAUGCUGAAUACUUGUCAGUCAUUUUCAGAAUUUUUUUUGCUCUAUCUUAUUUGACUACCGGUAAUUUUGAAAUUGAAUUUUGGUAAUAUUUAGUCAAAAAAUAACUUAAGAAAAACCUGUUUUGUUUACCCUCCUCCCAUUGGCUGUUACAUAGGUAAAUGGUAUCAAAAUGGUUCCAUAGGUAAACAAAUGCACCAAAUGCUGGACAGCACGUGAAUAAAGAAUCCCAAUUGCAAUAUCGCGUAACAAUUUCGGCAUCAUGACAAAAUUGCAAGUGGCGCCACAAGAAAACAAGAACAUCAACGCCCAUAAUUAUAUUUAAAAACGACAACAGCGAUCAAACUACUAUAAAUACACAAUACACUGUUGAUUGAUGUUAUCAUCUAGCCAAAAAGCACGUGCUACCUAAUAAUACCAGAUAGACUUCGCCGGCGUUCUGCAGUCUAGACUAAAUUCCUAUUCUUGUAUGAAUGGUCUUAAUUCACAUUCGCUGUUUUGUACGCGCACAACCUUGUUCGAGAUACUUGCCAAUCGGCUGUUACUAUUUUAGUUUAGUAGGUCAUUAAACGAAACGUGCGGACGAUGUGUUGGCUCGUUUUGGGGUUGGACACUUUGAAAGUAUUAUAUUGAUCGUGCUGUUGGUAGGUUGGGCUUGGGAGGAUAUGGAAUAUUAAUUGAUCUAGAAAGUUUGGUUUUGAUUUGAGGUGGUCCCUUGUGUUGUAAAACGUGUAGUUUGAUUUAGAACGAGAAGGGCUCAUCUCAAUGUUUUAUUCUAUCUAAAUUAUUUUAUUCUUCUAAAUAUGUAAGCAUGUCGACACGUUCUCCUGUAUUUUUUCUUAAUUCAUCUGAUACAUUGUAAAGUUUUUCUCCUUUUUUUACUUUUUGCCUAGGGAUCUGUUUCCACUCUACGUUAGAUGAACAGCAAGAGUAAAAAAAAAACAUCAUUAUAACCCCUUAUCUUUUCAAAACUGUAACGAGUAACUAACAGCAAAAAUAUGACUUCCUUAAAGUUCUUGACGUGCCGGUUACUCUAGAGCUAACAAGCGCACUGCGGAUUUAGCGAAAAAAAGACCACAAAGCUGGGCUUUUUCGAUGUUGCUGCACUCUGACUGGUGCGGUUUUUCAACUCGGUUAAAUAAAUAUUUCGACUAAAACUACUGGACAUCGUUACUCUCUAGAUCGGAAUGUAUUUUGCUUUAGUAAAAAAAUAUUAUAAUGAAGCCUUGCAAUUAUUAAAGAACAUUUUUUGUUGGGCAUUGCUUCAAGCUUUAAUACGCUGGUAUGAUGUCACUAAUACAAUCCCUAAUACUUCCGCCACACCCUGUUUAAUCUAAUUAAUUAACAUAUAAUGUGACUACACCUAUGUGUCAGCGAAAUUAUCUCGUAAUUAAUUAAUUACGACUUAAUAAUAAUCUCUUUAAUAACAAAUCACAGCCUGAUGCAAGCAAACAAACUAAUAGGAUUUCUUUUAUAAUGGCCCUUUGCAAAAAUUGUACUUUGAACCAAACAUCGUUAUUGUUGCUAUAACGUUUACCUUUGCCGCAAUUUCAUGACCGUCUGUGAGCAACUUUCAGUGGCAAUGGCAUUGCCUUGCACAAGGAAAUUGAGGGAGUUUCUAAAAUCGUUUGAAACGCUGCUAUUGUUGUCAUAACAGGCAACUUUAAAAAUCGGUGUAAUGUUUAGCAGUUGUUUCAAUGUGUGAUCACAAGAUCUCGAAAUUCGAAUUGUUAUGUGUGCGCAAUCCAAUUGAAAUAGGUUUUAUGUAAAAAGGUCAGUUGCCAGCUGCUUCUACUCUACUAAUCCUCUGCAAGUCUACUUUUAUACCCGAAGAACUUAUACGAGAUUUAAACAUUAUUCAAACUCAAAACGUACAGUAUUCAUCGCUGUACCGUAAAUCGACAUUGAAUUUAUGUAUCGGACAUGUGAAAUCGCCACUGAUUGAUUCCCACCGACGGAGUGAAUUCACAAUGACUUAAAAAGAACAAUAAAAGUGCACCAAUUUGUGUCCCGAUGAUAAAUGCAGUCCGUUUAAAUUCAAACAAAAUAAAUCCGUGUUCGCGACCCGUAUGCUCGCUCUCACGGUACCAAGAUGCAAGAGUUUUCCAACUGUGAGACACUGUGUUUCCGUGUAAAGUUUUGUCUUGUUAGCGAUAUGUUUGAGUAGUUUUAUUUAUUCCUACUUGGGACUUGUAUGUAUUGCUUUGAAUGAAGAUUUGUGUUGUAGUAAAAUGUAAAUAUUUCCAACUUCAUUAUGUUAAAGUUGGUAAAUAUGAGAAUAAGGAUGAAAUUUACAAACCGAAUGGCUUGUAAAUGUGUUAAAUGAAAUGAAUGAAAAAGAUUUCAAUGAAUGAUAUUCUCAUGAAUAGUAUGAAUGAAAUGUAACCGAGAGAAAAUUUAAAGCAUUUGAAUAACACAUCCAUCACUUCGACGCGCCCGCCCGUUCGGACGUUAAAAAACAACAAAUACGGAGUCUAAAAUAAACAGAGUACAAAGUCAUCGUAAUGCAAAGGUCACGCACUGUUCAGUCUCCCGCCAAAAGAGCAAAAAGGCGCGACCGGUAAUGGUCGCGUUCGGCGUCAUCUGCUCGACGCUCGCUGUUUCCGCCGCGGCCAUGUUGGAUUUAUGCCGGCUAAAAGUAUCAGCAUCCGUGUAGCCCUUGCUGUAAUUUAUAUUAUUUAAUUGAGUUGUUAAGCAUCGAUGAAUUAUCUCUUAUUGGACUGAAUUCAAAAGGGUCUGAAUAAUAAAAUUUCGUGGCUGCCGUAAUUUGAGGGAUCGUUAAACGGUAGUCAAUUUCCAGUUUUGGAGCUGACAGCGCUCAUUUUUGUAUAAUGAAUGGCGUCGUUCCUAAUAAGUAUCGUUGUCCUUUUAUCUGUUAUACAAUCUGCAACAUGAAAGGGUGACUCAUCGGUACAUACGUGCCCAAUGAUCCAGAACUAAAAAGGCUGAAUGCACAGUUUCCCGCCAAAAUAAAACGAUGACCGGUAAUGGAUGCGUUCAGCGUCAUCUGUUCGGCUCUAUGAACGCAUACGUCCGGUUCCGUUGCAGCCAUGUUUGAUUUAUGGUAUCUUUGUACUCGUUAAACAGUAUCGUGUCGACAGAUUGAACCUUGAACUUCCAAAUAAUUAGACCUGUUAUUUUCCCAGAUGAAUUGAUGUAUCUAUUGAGCUGUGUAUGUACGAUUGAUCAUUGGAUAGAAGUACGAUGGAGUUUGAUUAUUAUUAUUAAGGUAAUUCAUGAAUUUCACAUUUUGCUACGCUAAAGGUGUUGUUUUUGGAUCUCCGGUGGGUUUUUUGUUUCAGCCUUAUGUUAUAUUUUUGGCUGGUCGAGAAAUAAUGGAAUGUUUCUGAAACAGUGAACUAUAUUUGAAUAUAAAUCUGUUUGAAU